UGCGUAGGUGGUUCGUUGUGUCUGUGGUGAAAGCCCCGGGCUUAACCUGGGAAUGGCCAUGGAAACUGGCGAGCUGGAGUGUGGCAGAGGGGGGUGGGAAUUCCGCGUGUAGCAGUGAAAUGCGUAGAGAUGCGGAGGAACACCGAUGGCGAAGGCAGCCCCCUGGGCUAACACUGACGCUGAGGCACGAAAGCUGGGGAGCAAACA
rnacentral:rRNA from 1 species